AAUAAAAAAUCAAUAAUAAAAAAUAAAUUACAGUACUUUCAUUCAUAAUUUACAUGUUAGAAGAUUCAUUAUUAACAAUCAUUGUGAGUUCAGAGGAUAACAUUGUAAUUGUGCAGGAAAAUUACAACGUGUGUUAGUGAACUAAUAUAUACUGGAUUGGACCUUCGGACAUCUUAUUUCUGGACCUGCCAAUUUUAGCGCUCGCUUCAAAGCCCAUUGUGCCAAUUUUAGGGCUCACUUCGGACAACGUGUGUCUGCCAAUUUUACGCAGACAAACUGAAGAGAAUGAUGUUGCAAGCAAAGAUGGACUUCAUUGAAUUUGCUGUUCAGGUAUGUUUCUCGACCAAUGGAGGGGCAGGAACUCAUACAGAUGUAAGAAGUGGUUCUUUGGAUGAGGCCAUUAAGGUGUGCAUGGUUGGUGGCUUGCAAGGGAUUGUAUCUGAUGUAAAAGCUCUCUUUAAUACCAGGGGCAAUAGCAAGAAUCAAAGGGUGCAAGCUUUCUCUUGUAACUUGAUUUAAUUCUAAGAAGUUAAAUUUGACGUGGAAUUUCGCCAAGUCAAAUGACAAUACUUGUUUCUGACGUCUGCACAGUGAGGUGGUGUUCUUGAAACCGAACGUUUAAUGGGGGUUGAAGGGUUGAUUUUUUUUUCCCUGUUCAAGAGACCACAGAGGCAGUCACAGAUUUAACUAGCAAUGUAAACGGUGAAGAAGAGAGCUUGUUUGGAGAGGAUGGAAAGAUGCUACUAAAAACAAAGCCCCAAAUCUCAAAGGAUGAACUCUCAUUUGUUUUUACAAAGCUUAUCCCAGAAUCGAUCCAGUCUAAUUGAAGGCAUUAAACACUUACAGAUGCGCCCAAAACACUAGUCUUCUUUUUAACAAUUCCAUUGUAAAUGAAAGCCUUUUUUGUUCAUCUGUACUGAUUGUAGUCCACUCAAGUAUGAACAAGCUGUUACUUAAAGACUUUUCAUGUUUUGGGGCUAUUGAAUUAAGCUCAGCUUCGAAACGAAAAAUGAUGAUGCAUCCUGCUUCUCAUGAAGUGUCGAUCUGAAAUACUCUUUUAACAGCGGCAUCUGUACAUUUCCUUGGAUAUCAAUAAUGCUAUGGCUUGGUCUUAGGCCCAAAAGGGAAUGUCACUGGACCGUAGAUUGGUUUAGGCCCAUCUAUUGAAGUUCUUACAUACUUGAGCCCAUCCCAAAUACCAGUACAAAUCCAACAGAAAAACGAAGGGGCAUAAAUUCAACCGUAAAGUCGGGAAUUCUUUAUUGACACUUGUAAAGAAAGUAGGAACUCUGCAGGUACCCGUGUUGGAGCAACGAAAGAAAAGUUGUAGAGUUGCAUUUUUUAGGGAAGAGGACAAUUUCCCACCCAAAUUUUGUUGAAAUGAUAAAUAUAUACCUACAGCAAAUGAUAAAUA